UUAGCACUCAUUCCGUUCCCCUCACGGCUAGCCCGCAACACCACUUAGAGCGAGCGAGUCGGCGAGCGGAGCGAAAUCAAGAAAACAAAAUAAAAGCGAAAAGAAAGCCGUUUUUACGCGAGCGAGAGAGGGAAAAACAAGAAAAGGCCAGGGUUUUUCUAGGGUUCCGAUGCCCUGACGCUUAGGGGGAGCUCGGAGCGCCGGCGAUCUCGAGGCUGGAGGAAUGAUGUCCGCGCAGAAGGAGCUGGAGGACCGGCUCCAGGAGGUUGGGAACCGGCUUGCCUCUCCUCCGUCCGCUAUCGAUGAACUCCUCCAUCUUCUUGAUCAAACUGAGAGCUUUUUAGCAAGAGUGGAACAAUCGCCAUCUGAGUCAAUGUCCAAUGCGCUUCGUCCUGCAAUGAAGGCCUUGGUUGCUAAAGAGUUUUUAGGACAUUCAGACACAGAUGUGAAAGUUGCUGUGGCAUCAUGUAUCAGUGAAAUCACAAGAAUAACAGCACCGGAUGCUCCAUAUGAUGAUGAUUUAAUGAAGGAGGUAUUUCAAAAGAUUGUUGAAGCCUUUGAGAAAUUGGAUGACAUAUCUAGUCGCUCAUAUUCCAAGAGAGUUUCAAUUCUUGAAACUGUUGCUAAGGUCCGGUCAUGUGUUGUGAUGUUGGAUCUUGAAUGUGAUGCUCUGAUUCUUGAGAUGUUUCGUCAUUUCCUGUGUACCAUAAGGCCAAAUCAUUCAGAAAAUGUUUUUAAUUCGAUGGAGACCAUUAUGACACUUGUAUUAGAAGAGAGCGAAGAUAUUCCUACAGAGCUUCUCACGUGCCUUCUAGAUACUGUAAAAAAUAAUAACAAAGAUGUGUCACCUAUUGCUUGCAGACUGGGGGAGAAAGUGAUGAGUAAUUGCACAAUGAAGCUCAAACCUUAUAUGAAAGGAUUGGUUAGUUCCAUGAGUGCUUCUUUAAGUCAAUACAGUAAAAUUGUUGGCUCGAUAUGCCAAGAGAAUUCUGAUGGCAUGGAGCAGAAAGAUGCAAAUGUUUCUGGUGAGGUUAUGGCAGAUGACAGCAAACAAUCUGAGAGGACUGUUUCUGAUGAGCUGCGUCAGGGUUCGGCGAAGAUGGAGCAAGAGGUAGGCUAUGCUGAAGAAGUCGGUACUGCUGCAGACAAGUCACCUAGAUCAGUGAUGAGCAACGGGACUGUUCAGCUAGGCAAUGGAGAAUCAGUGGUGGAACCAACAUCUCCAAAACAGAGGCCUGAACGCUCUCAUCGCAAUUGUCAGCCCAAAAGUACUUCUGGAGCUAAUAGACCUGAUUCAGAUAACUUGGAGUCAUUCCCUGCAAAACCAGAGAGCACCUCAGAUCUUAACACAAGGAAAAUAAGGGGCCGAGCCACUGACCAUUCUCGGAUCGACAGCGACAAAGAAGCUCCUGCAUUACCUAGUAGGAGGAAGGAUUGUGGCAAGGAAGCUGAUACUGCACAAUUUGUUGGUUCAUCUGGAAAAGUAGCAGACUCAGCUGAGGAGAAAGAUGAGAUUCAGCCCCAUUCUGGAUCUGAUAAUGGAACUGGUGUUGUUGCAUCACCAGACCUUAGUGAGAGUCCUGAUGCGACUCGACCCAGAAGGGGCCGACCCCCUGGGUUAAGGAUUUCCUCAAAGAGAGGUGGUGGUCAUGAUCAGGAUGAAGCGUUACCCUUGAAAGAUGUUGAUUCUAAGAAGGAGCUGGAGGGUAGUGGUGAUUCAGAAGGAAAGUCUUCGAGGCGUUCCAGCAGAAAACAUCCACGGAAUGCUGAUGAUGGUGCAACACCAACAACUGUAACAAGUGAUUCAGAAACAAAACCACAGAGACAGACUAGUAAAAAGACACCCACAAGAAGGGUUGCCGAUGGGGAGUUAGCAUGUAAACAGCUAAAGUCCAAUGUCAAGCAGAAGGAGAAAGGAAAUGCUGACAAUGAUGUAGCUGCAGAACUGAGGUUGAAGUCUGCUUUGAAAGCUGAAAGUAAAGAUGAAGGAAAUCAGGAGAAGAGUGCUAAUGCAAAAACUAAAAGAAAGCGUGCUCAAGGGACUGAAGAGGGUUCUGGUACACCAGCUCAAAGUACACAAGUAGAUCGGAGCCUCGUUGGUUCUAGGAUUAAAGUAUGGUGGCCAGAUGACAAGGCGUUUUAUGAUGGUGUUGUCGAGUCUUUUGAUCCUGUUUCAAAAAAGCAUAAGAUUCUUUACGAUGAUGGUGACAUAGAGAUACUGUUGCUCAAGAAUGAACGCUGGAAAUAUGUCGAAGGGGAUGCCAGAAUAGAUGGGGGACUGGCAAAAGAUAUUUCAAGUCCUGAUGCUUCAUCAGAAUUGCGACGAGAUAAAAAGACAAAAACAAGUUUAAGUUCUGUUUCAAGACAUUCAAAGAUGGAGACACCAGUAAAAAGUAGUGCGGGGUCCAGCAGUGUUGCUAAGCGUAAAGGUAGACCCAGAGGUGGAAUAACAAGUCCUGGUGAGCUGUCCAGCGAUUACAGUCCUAAAACAUCAGGCAAUUCAAAGGAGAAGGCCGCAAGCAAGCAUGAUGAUGACAUCCCUAGGACUGGCAGUAGGGUUAAGAAGGAUACUGGUAAUAAGUCCAAGGAUGACACUUGGAAAACUGGUGACAAGUCUACUGAUGAAACUGGCAGUAAGUUUAGGGACGAUACACAGAAAGCUGGCAGUAAAUCCAAGGAUGAUCUCCCUAAAUCAAGCAGAAAGUUAAAGGAUGACACCUCUAAAACUGUCAGCAAGUCUGGAGACGAUGUGAUCAGUACCAGUGGCAGGGCCAAGAAGGAGGCAAUUAAAGGUAAAUCCAGUGAAGAAACUCCCAGAAGUGGCCGGAAAUUCAAGGGCUACUCUACCAGCCCCAAAGCUGGGGGUGAGUCCAAGGCAAAUGGCACUUCAGAGAAAGGAAAAUCAAAGGCUGAUGAAAUUGAGACUUCUUCUGGAAAAGUGCAAUCAGAUUCAGUGAAGGCACAAGAAACUGAGGCUUCAACUGGGAAGAAGCGCAGAAGAAAGAGCCAAGGUUGAAUACUUUGUGGUAACAUAUGUUUGUGUUUACUCUUUUCUUCUCUCAGGUAAAUACACCCACUUCAUUUUCUUUUACUGCCGCCAAUAGGCGUUUCCUCUCUGUUUUGCAUUGUAACUUACCAGUUGCCUAUCUGGUAGUUCUGCGGCUGGUGACCGUGAAGUGGCCGACAGGUUUAGGAUUCAUGGAGGCUUUGUAAUGUUUGGCAUUACUUUGUCUCCUCUUGUAAGGAAAACAUGUUACAAGCCUCCAGUAGAUGACUUGAUGCUUAACCUAUGUUAAAAAGUUAUCCUAGAUGGUAAUGCAGGUUGUUGCUGGUGGUCUAUCUCCUUUUUUUUUUUUUGGUAGUUCGUACAAUGGAAAAUUUACAAGAAAUCAUUGUUGUGGGUAACUUGAACAACGUACUCUCUCUCUUGGAAUCUCUCCCCCCGUGCGCGCGCGUCCCCGUGCCUGCACAUCAUGCCUCCCAUGAAAUCUCAUUUGGAUUUCAAAGUUUGAACUAUAGUGGUGGCAAUCCAAUUCUGGUGAGACAGCAUGGUCGGUCGCAUUAGCCUUCGCAUUGCCGUGUCUUUCCAAACCCUGAAUCCGAGAGGGUCGAUCAGUUCAGGAGGUUGCUUAUAUCUGGAGCAGACGCUGCUCACGUGACUGUAGUGUGUAGGAUUGUGGAAAUGCUCGCGUUUUGUGAUCAUCUAUUUCGUGACAUGAUUAUGCGUCUGUUAUAUCACAUUUCAUGAACCUCAUGUCAAUCAAUAGCAUUACUACACUUCCUCGUUUCA